UACGUAGGUGGCAAGCGUUAUCCGGAAUUAUUGGGCGUAAAGAGCGCGCAGGGGGUUGAUUAAGUCUGAUGUGAAAGCCCACGGCUUAACCGUGGAGGGUCAUUGGAAACUGGUCAACUUGAGUGCAGAAGAGGGAAGUGGAAUUCCAUGUGUAGCGGUGAAAUGCGUAGAGAUAUGGAGGAACACCAGUGGCGAAGGCGGCUUCCUGGUCUGUAACUGACACUGAGGCGCGAAAGCGUGGGGAGCAAACCGG
rnacentral:rRNA from 1 species